GUUCCUAAAAGGUGCCUUGAAAAUCUUCAGGUGAAUGCCAUCAUGACACCACCCAUGAAGAAUAGGAACCCUAGAUCAAAUUCUUCAUAUGGAUCAAAAUCUUCAUAUGGACCAAAAUCUUCAUAUGGACCAAAUUCCUCACGCGGAUCAAAAUCCUCAUAUGAACAUCAUCGUGCUAACACUUCUGUUUCGCAGGGAAAGUCUAAGGGCCAUGAAUAUGUGCAUUAUUCUUUAAACCAUUAUGUUCAUAAGUCCUCGAAGAAUUUCUCUGCUUAUUCAUAUGCUUAUCCUAACCACUCUUCUGUGAAAUGA
rnacentral:rRNA from 1 species